UACAGAGGUCUCAAGCGUUGUUCGGAUUCAUUGGGCGUAAAGGGUGCGUAGGCGGCGCGGUAAGUCGGGUGUGAAAUCUUGGAGCUUAACUCCGAAACUGCAUUCGAUACUGCCGUGCUUGAGGACUGGAGAGGAGACUGGAAUUUACGGUGUAGCGGUGAAAUGCGUAGAUAUCGUAAGGAAGACCAGUGGCGAAGGCGGGGUCUCUGGACAGUUCCCUGACGCUGAGGCACGAAGGCCAGGGGAGCAAACGGG
rnacentral:rRNA from 1 species